rnacentral:rRNA from 1 species
GACGAACGCUGGCGGCGUGCUUAACACAUGCAAGUCGAACGGAAAGGCCCUGCUUUUGUGGGGUGCUCGAGUGGCGAACGGGUGAGUAACACGUGAGUAACCUGCCCUUGACUUUGGGAUAACUUCAGGAAACUGGGGCUAAUACCGGAUAGGAGCUCCUGCUGCAUGGUGGGGGUUGGAAAGUUUCGGCGGUUGGGGAUGGACUCGCGGCUUAUCAGCUUGUUGGUGGGGUAGUGGCUUACCAAGGCUUUGACGGGUAGCCGGCCUGGGAGGGUGACCGGCCACAUUGGGACUGAGAUACGGCCCAGACUCCUACGGGAGGCAGCAGUGGGGAAUCUUGCGCAAUGGGCGGCAGCCUGAUGCAGCAACGCCGCGUGCGGGAUGACGGCCUUCGGGUUGUAAACCGCUUUCGCCUGUGACGAAGCGUGAGUGACGGUAAUGGGUAAAGAAGCACCGGCUAACUACGUG